UCGUGACUGCGUGCCUUUUGAAGAAUGAGCCUGCGAGUUAGCGGUGUGUAGCGAGGUUAACCCGUGUGGGGAAGCCGUAGCGAAAGCGAGUCCGAAGAGGGCGUUUGAGUUGCACGCUCUAGACCCGAAGCGGAGUGAUCUAGCCAUGGGCAGGUUGAAGCGGCUGUAAGAGGUCGUGGAGGACCGAACCCACCAGGGUUGAAAACCUGGGGGAUGACCUGUGGUUAGGGGUGAAAGGCCAAUCAAACUCCGUGAUAGCUGGUUCUCCCCGAAAUGCAUUUAGGUGCAGCGUCGUGUGUUUCUUGCCGGAGGUAGAGCACUGGAUAGGCGAUGGGCCCUACCGGGUUACUGACCUUAGCCAAACUCCGAAUGCCGGUAAGUGAGAGCGCGGCAGUGAGACUGUGGGGGAUAAGCUCCAUGGUCGAGAGGGAAACAGCCCAGAGCAUCGACUAAGGCCCCUAAGCGUACGCUAAGUGGGAAAGGAUGUGGAGUCGCAGAGACAACCAGGAGGUUGGCUUAGAAGCAGCCACCCUUGAAAGAGUGCGUAAUAGCUCACUGGUCUAGUGAUUCCGCGCCGACAAUGUAGCGGGGCUCAAGCGUACCGCCGAAGUCGUGUCAUUGCAGCAUGAGGGCCAACGCCCGCUGUGAUGGGUAGGGGAGCGUCGUGUGCCGGGUGAAGCAGCCGUGGAAGCGAGUUGUGGACGGUUCACGAGUGAGAAUGCAGGCAUGAGUAGCGAUUCACACGUGAGAAACGUGUGCGCCGAUUGACUAAGGGUUCCUGGGUCAAGCUGAUCUGCCCAGGGUAAGUCGGGACCUAAGGCGAGGCCGACAGGCGUAGUCGAUGGAUAACCGGUUGAUAUUCCGGUACCCGCUGUGAAGCGUCAAACAUUGAAUCCAGUGAUGCUAAGCCCGUGAAGCCGUUCCGGACCCUUCGGGGAAUGGAAAGUGGUGGAGCCGGUGGCCCGAGCUGGUAGUAGGUGAGUGAUGGGGUGACGCAGGAAGGUAGUCCAUCCCGGGCGGUGGUUGUCCCGGGGUAAGGGUGUAGGACGUCAGGUAGGUAAAUCCGCCUGGCACGUAGUCUGAGACCUGAUGCCGAGCCGAUUGUGGUGAAGUGGAUGAUCCUAUGCUGUCGAGAAAAGCCUCUAGCGAGUUUCAUGGCGGCCCGUACCCUAAACCGACUCAGGUGGUCAGGUAGAGAAUACCGAGGCGUUCGGGUGAACUAUGGUUAAGGAACUCGGCAAAAUGCCCCCGUAACUUCGGGAGAAGGGGGGCCAUGUCUGGUGAUCCGAUUUACUCGGUGAGCUGGGUGUGGCCGCAGAGACCAGCGAGAAGCGACUGUUUACUAAAAACACAGGUCCGUGCGAAGCCGUAAGGCGAUGUAUACGGACUGACGCCUGCCCGGUGCUGGAACGUUAAGGGGACCGGUUAGUCACAUUUCGGUGUGGCGAAGCUGAGAACUUAAGCGCCAGUAAACGGCGGUGGUAACUAUAACCAUCCUAAGGUAGCGAAAUUCCUUGUCGGGUAAGUUCCGACCUGCACGAAUGGCGUAACGACUUCUCGACUGUCUCAACCAUAGGCCCGGUGAAAUUGCAUUACGAGUAAAGAUGCUCGUUUCGCGCAGCAGGACGGAAAGACCCCGGGACCUUUACUACAGUUUGAUAUUGGUGUUCGGUUCGGCUUGUGUAGGAUAGGUGGGAGACUGUGAAGCAUGCACGCCAGUGUGUGUGGAGUCGUCGUUGAAAUACCACUCUGGUCGUGCUGGAUGUCUAACCUGGGUCCGUGAUCCGGAUCAGGGACAGUGUCUGAUGGGUAGUUUAACUGGGGCGGUUGCCUCCUAAAGAGUAACGGAGGCGCCCAAAGGUUCCCUCAGCCUGGUUGGUAAUCAGGUGUUGAGUGUAAGUGCACAAGGGAGCUUGACUGUGAGACCGACGGGUCGAGCAGGGACGAAAGUCGGGACUAGUGAUCCGGCGGUGGCUUGUGGAAGCGCCGUCGCUCAACGGAUAAAAGGUACCCCGGGGAUAACAGGCUGAUCUUCCCCAAGAGUCCAUAUCGACGGGAUGGUUUGGCACCUCGAUGUCGGCUCGUCGCAUCCUGGGGCUGGAGUCGGUCCCAAGGGUUGGGCUGUUCGCCCAUUAAAGCGGUACGCGAGCUGGGUUUAGAACGUCGUGAGACAGUUCGGUCCCUAUCCGCUGUGCGCGUAGGAAUAUUGAGAAGGGCUGUCCCUAGUACGAGAGGACCGGGACGGACGAACCUCUGGUGUGCCAGUUGUUCUGCCAAGGGCAUGGCUGGUUGGCUACGUUCGGGAGGGAUAACCGCUGAAAGCAUCUAAGCGGGAAGCCUGCUUCGAGAUGAGUAUUCCCACCUCCUUGAGAGGGUAAGGCUCCCAGUAGACGACUGGGUUGAUAGGCCGGAUAUGGAAGCCCUGUAAGGGGUGGAGUUGACCGGUACUAAUAGGCCGAGGGCUUGUCCUCAGUUG
rnacentral:rRNA from 1 species